rnacentral:rRNA from 1 species
GCUGUGAGGCGUUGAGCUAACCCAUACUAAUUGCCCGUGAGGCUUGACCAUAUAACACCCAAGCA